rnacentral:rRNA from 1 species
AGUGAACGCUGGCGGUAGGCCUAACACAUGCAAGUCGAACGGCAGCACAGUAAGAGCUUGCUCUUACGGGUGGCGAGUGGCGUACGGGUGAGGAAUACAUCGGAAUCUACUUUUUCGUGGGGGAUAACGUAGGGAAACUUACGCUAAUACCGCAUACGACCUACGGGUGAAAGCAGGGGAUCUUCGGACCUUGCGCGAUUGAAUGAGCCGAUGUCGGAUUAGCUAGUUGGCGGGGUAAAGGCCCACCAAGGCGACGAUCCGUAGCUGGUCUGAGAGGAUGAUCAGCCACACUGGAACUGAGACACGGUCCAGACUCCUACGGGAGGCAGCAGUGGGGAAUAUUGGACAAUGGGCGCAAGUCUGAUCCAGCCAUACCGCGUGGGUGAAGAAGGCCUUCGGGUUGUAAAGCCCUUUUGUUGGGAAAGAAAAGCAGCAGGUUAAUACCCCGCUGUUCUGACGGUACCCAAAGAAUAAGCACCGGCUAACUUCGUG